UAGCAGUUGGCUCCACCUGUGGACGCAGGGAGUUGGACUUUGUCCCAAAACUGUGCCUGUGACAUGCAUUCCUACAUUCACAAGACUUCUUCAUGCCAAUCGCCCUUUCUAUAAAGUCUGUUUCUCACUGCAGCAAGCUUCCUGCAAAACCAGUUUCUCAAACUUGCCGUCACAAGAGGCGUGGUGGCAUAGCUCUGCGGCUUCUGAGUUCCCUCUUCCUUGAUUACACAAACUCCAAGGCACUCAAGGAUGUUCUAGACAAGGAGGCCAAGCCCUGGGGAAGGGGAAACUGACAGCAGCAAGGUAUGAGAAGAGAAGCUAUCAGAAAUGACCAUGAAAUAGUCAGACUUUUAUAAGGAAGUGCAGCUAGGAUCUGCACGAACUCCACCCAAAGGAUGAUGGUGGCGCAAUGUGUUUGCGAGUUGGGUUCUGAGAGUUGGCUUGGAGCAGUGAAAAGGGAAAGGUGAAGAAAAAGGAAUUGGUCAGAAACACGGAAAUCAGAGACGAAAGAUAAACAGUAUCUGUCUCUCGAUAGUGGAGAAUGGGAACUCAUUAGCUGACCAUGCUUGGUAACAAUAUUUCUUCCAACAGCUGGCUUCUUUUAUUUUAAUUUCAUAUUCACGGUGCAACUCCAACCCGAAUGUAUUUUUUCAAGGUGACUGACCUGCUAAAAUGAAGAUUUGGCUGCUUUCACUGUAAGUGGAGUCUCACUAUCAUCCAGGCUAGAGUGCAAUGGUGCAAUCUCGGCUCACUGCAACCUCUGCCUCCCGGGUUCAAGCAAUUCUCCUGCCUCAACCUCCUGAAUACCUGGGACUAAAGCUGCUGCAGCCACUGGCUUCUGGAACGUUUUCAGUCUUCAGUCUUGCUCCAGACUUUGCCUUUGCUCUGCGGUCUGCACCUGCUCAGAUCCUGGUCCAGGUCUCCACUCGGGAGCCCUCACUUGACUCAGUCACAUCCAUUGCCUGGAGAGCUUCAACAGAUUCAACGUAAAGGUCCCAAUGCAGGGAAAUGACUGCGUGUCUCCUUGAUGGAAUGCUGUAUUUCUUCUGCCAGAGCCCAGACCUUCAUCUGACAUCAACAAAACCAGAGGAAGAGUUUGAGCUGGGUCGGCUAGGAAAAUACCACCUGCGCUGAGACAUUAUUAGGACGCAUGAAAGCCCUGUAAAGGCCAAAUUACAGCGCAGAGCCCGUGUGGCAACAAGGAAAUAUGCUUAUGGUGAAAUGUUUCCGGAAAACAGGAUUGGAAUGUACACGAUGCCAAGAUUACAGCCCUCACAAGAAGGUUUCUCAAAGACAGUUCUCCUAGAAGGAUCUAGGUCUCCAGAACUUUUGGGGCUAGAGCCCAGGAAUCUGAGCUUUAAAUGAGGUUUCCAGGAGGUCCUUCUGAACUCUAUAGAAUGAGGUCAGUCAUGUAAAGAACUGUGUGCUCCAAGAACAGAGAAUCAAACACCGCAUGUUCUCACACAUAGGCGGGUAUCGAACAAUGAGAACACAUGGACAGAGGGAGGGGAGCAUCACACACUGGGGUCAGUUUGGGGGCUAGGGGAGGGACAGCAGGUGGUAGGGAGGUUGGGGAGAGAUAACAUGGGGAGAAAUGCCAGAUAUAGGUUACUGGUGGAUGGAGGCAGCAAACCACCUUGCCAUGUAUGUACCUAUGCAGCAAUGCCGCAUGAUCUGCACAUGUACCCCAGAACCUAAAGUACAGUUAAAAAAAAUAAACAAAACAAAACUGUG